UACGGAGGGUGCAAGCGUUAAUCGGAAUUACUGGGCGUAAAGCGCACGUAGGCGGCUUUGCAAGUCAGAUGUGAAAUCCCCGGGCUUAACCUGGGAACUGCAUUUGAGACUGCAUUGCUAGAGUAUGGGAGAGGGCAGUGGAAUUUCCGGUGUAGCGGUGAAAUGCGUAGAUAUCGGAAGGAACAUCAGUGGCGAAAGCGACUGCCUGGACCAAUACUGACGCUCAUGUGCGAAAGCGUGGGGAGCAAACAGG
rnacentral:rRNA from 1 species